GAUAACAAAUGGUUCUCACCACCAUCUUCCCAUCUCUUCCAGCUCUUUCUCCAGAGGGAUUCUGCCAUGCCUCCCUCUACCCGCAGAUCUCUGGUGGGGAGAAGACCACUCUCCAUGUAAUCCCUAGAAGGGUGAGAAGAAAGUGAGGACGAGUCAGCAUGUCUUUGAAAGGACAGUUGUGUGGUAGUCCCCAGGGAGAAGGCUCGGUGAUACUGUUACUACCAAGAUGUUGCAGCAAAAGCACAUGGAUUACUGGGUCUGGGUCUGAAUUAGGCUGCUCCGGAACAAGAGGAACAGGAACAAGAGGACUGCUGGGGAUGGGUGUCAGAAGCAGCUUCGCCCUGGAUCCCUCACCCCAUCUGACCAUAUACGAAGCAGUUAGUUCCUCGCUUUGGAUCUCCAGAGCCUCUCUGUCCCUCCAAUCACUUUUAGUG